rnacentral:snRNA from 1 species
AGCUUUGCGCAGUGACAGUAUCGUAGCCAAUGAAGUUUAUCCCAGGCGCGAUUAUUGCUAAUUGAAACAAAGAGUCCAAAUUUAUACAGGGGGGAAAAAAAGGAAAUACGUAAAAUUUGGUUACAUCAAUUCCCACUUUAAAAUACUUUAUAACUCUCUAUUUUUCCUAAAUUUAAAAAAAU